AUUGAACGCUGGCGGCAUGCUUUACACAUGCAAGUCGAACGGUAACAGGCCUUCGGGUGCUGACGAGUGGCGAACGGGUGAGUAAUGCAUCGGAACGUACCCAGAGGUGGGGGAUAACGCAGCGAAAGCUGUGCUAAUACCGCAUGUGAUCUGAGGAUGAAAGCGGGGGACCGAGCAGAAAUGUUUGGCCUCGCGCCUUUGGAGCGGCCGAUGUCGGAUUAGCUAGUUGGUGGGGUAAAGGCCUACCAAGGCGACGAUCCGUAGCUGGUCUGAGAGGACGACCAGCCACACUGGGACUGAGACACGGCCCAGACUCCUACGGGAGGCAGCAGUGGGGAAUUUUGGACAAUGGGCGCAAGCCUGAUCCAGCAAUGCCGCGUGCGGGAAGAAGGCCUUCGGGUUGUAAACCGCUUUUGGCAGGAACGAAACGGUGUCCGCUAAUACCGGGCGCUAAUGACGGUACCUGCAGAAUAAGCACCGGCUAACUACGUG
rnacentral:rRNA from 1 species